ACGUACACUCCUACGGGAGGCAGCAGUGGGGAAUAUUGGACAAUGGGCGCAAGCCUGAUCCAGCCAUGCCGCGUGAGUGAUGAAGGCCCUAGGGUUGUAAAGCUCUUUCACCGGUGAAGAUAAUGACGGUAACCGGAGAAGAAGCCCCGGCUAACUUCGUGCCAGCAGCCGCGGUAAUACGAAGGGGGCUAGCGUUGUUCGGAUUUACUGGGCGUAAAGCGCACGUAGGCGGACUAUUAAGUCAGGGGUGAAAUCCCGGGGCUCAACCCCGGAACUGCCUGUGAUACUGGUAUUCUUGAGUUCGAGGGAGGUGAGUGGAAUUCCGAGUGUAGAGGUGAAAUUCGUAGAUAUUCGGAGGAACACCAGUGGCGAAGGCGGCUCACUGGCUCGAUACUGACGCUGAGGUGCGAAAGCGUGGGGAGCAAACAGGAUUAGAAACCCCUGUAGUCCC
rnacentral:rRNA from 1 species